UACAGAGGUGGCAAGCGUUGUUCGGAAUUACUGGGCGUAAAGGGCUCGUAGGCGGCCAACUAAGUCAGACGUGAAAUCCCCAGGCUCAACCUGGGAACUGCGUCUGAUACUGGUUGGCUUGAAUCCGGGAGAGGGAUGCAGAAUUCCAGGUGUAGCGGUGAAAUGCGUAGAUAUCUGGAGGAAUACCGGUGGCGAAGGCGGCAUCCUGGACCGGCAUUGACGCUGAGGAGCGAAAGCUAGGGGAGCAAACGGG
rnacentral:rRNA from 1 species